rnacentral:rRNA from 1 species
AGUUUGAUCCUGGCUCAGAACGAACGCUGGCGGCGUGGAUAAGACAUGCAAGUCGAGCGGGAUAUACAGGGUAGCAAUAUUCUGUGUGUUCAGCGGCGCAAGGGUGCGUAACACGUGGGUAAUUUGCCAUGAAGUCUGGAAUAACUUGCUGAAAGGCGAGCUAAUACCGGAUGUGAAUUCCGAGGGGCAUCUUUUGGAAUUCAAAGUUGGGGACCGUAAGGCCUGACGCUUCAUGAUAAGCCCGCGGUCUAUCAGCUAGUUGGUGAGGUAACGGCUCACCAAGGCUAAGACGGAUAGCUGGUCUGAGAGGACGACCAGCCACACUGGAACUGAGACACGGUCCAGACACCUACGGGUGGCAGCAGUCGAGAAUUUUUCACAAUGGGCGAAAGCCUGAUGGAGCGACGCCGCGUGGGGGAUGAAUGGCUUCGGCCCGUAAAACCCCUGUCAUUUGCGAACAAACCUUAUUCAUUAACACUGAAUGAGCUGAUUUGUAGCGGGAAGAGGAGGGGACGGCUAAACUCUGUGCCAGCAGCCGCGGUAAUUACAGAGGUCCCGAGCGUUGUUCGGAUUUCACUGGGCGUAAAGGGUGCGUAGGUGGUGAAGGUAAGUCGGAUGUGAAAUCUCC